AUUGAACGCUGGCGGCAGGCCUAACACAUGCAAGUCGAACGAGUGGCGGACGGGUGAGUAAUGUCUGGGAAACUGCCUGAUGGAGGGGGAUAACUACUGGAAACGGUAGAUAAUCCCGCAUACCAUCGGAUGUACCCAGUUGGGAGUAGCUAGUCGGUGGGGUAAAGGCUCACCUAGGCGACGAUCCCUAGCUGGUCUGAGAGGAUGACCAGUAACAAUGGAAAGAGGACAAGGUCCAGAAUUCUACGGGAGGCACGAGUGGGGAAGAUUGCAGAGUGGGCGUAAGCGUGAUGCAGCCAUGCCGCGUGUAUGAAGAAGGCCUUCGGGGUGUAAAGGACUUUAAGCGGGGAGGCGUUACCCGCAGAAGAAGCACCGGCUAACUCCGUGCCAGCAGCCGCGGUAAUAC
rnacentral:rRNA from 1 species